UUUCUCUUAGCUUAAUAUUUGAAAGCAUUAGUUUGAAGAUCUGGAGAUAAUUUUAUUAGAGAGAC
rnacentral:tRNA from 1 species